GUGGGGAAAAUGCCUUACAUUUCAUUACAAGAUACAAUAGUUCAAGAAAUAGAAAAAUUGAGGAUUUUGAUGUUCUCAUUCUUUAUAGAGCCACAUAAAUUUGGG